CACAAAUGUCAUUAACAAAUUAGAUUAUAUUGCAUUAAACACAAAAGCAACAACAAAAACAUACCUGAUUAUCCAAAAAUCAUUCACAUUGUAUUUGCUGUCUUAUUUGAAGAAUUAAAAUUAUUACGAGAGCUUUUACCCCAGAAGAAAAAAAAAAACACAGCUAGUACAAUACUAAUGUCUGAAAAUUGAUCUUCUUGAAUUUUUAGAAGAGAAAUCAUCAAUCAAAUGUUCAUAAUCAAGUUUUUCAAGAAGUUCACUUUCAAUUGAAAUCAAAGCUAGUCCAUUUAAUCUUUCUUGCGACAUAGUUGAUCGCAAGUAUGAUUUUAACAAUUUUAAUUUUGAAAAACUUCUUUCCGCAGAUGCAACAGUAACAGGAAUAGUCAAUAGGAUUCUAUAUGCAAUGAAUGCAUUUGGAAAACAAUUUAAUCUUUUCAAGAAAUUUAAUAUUGCAAUAGCUGUGGUAUUUUCUUUUGGUAAAAGCUCCCGUAAAACUUUCAACUCAACAAAUAAAUCCUCCCCAUCGACGUCAGAAAACUUGUCAUUUUUCAAAAUGCUUUCCAGAUGACUACAACUAUUCUUCAAAUCGCAAUCAUCCAAUGAAUUUAACUUCUUUGAAGUAAACAAAAACCCAAAAAUAUUCUCAUACUCUUGAUAUUGUUGAAACCUUCUUCGUAAAGAACCAAUAGCUUGAUCCACUAAAUACAAGAAAUAAUCAAUUCUAAACUUUUCUUUAGCUGAUUCAGGAACUGAUUGGGAUGGCUCACAAGUAUUCUCAUCAAAAUAUUAUUUUCUACGAAUUUUUCGCUUCUCAAGAAACACUGGGUCAAUUCCCAUGUCAGUAGCAAUUUCUUUAGCAGUACACAUAGCUUCUGUAAACCCAUUUUCUCUAUACUUCUCAAAAAAAGUAAUCAACCCUUUCACUUUAUCAAUAGCAACAUCAAUAAGCAUGUCUUCAGAUUGUAAGUUUUUGCUAACUACAUUGACAGCACCUAAUAUAUCAUACCAAAUAACCAUGCCCAAUAAGAACUCAAAAUUUCCAAGUUCAUAUGUUGCCAAAGAAUUAGCUUCACUUGUUAUUUUGGAGUCACCGUCACUUUCUGCUAACUGAAGUAAAGCUUCUCUUAAAUCUGCAGCUUGGAAUCUUAUUGCUCUUACACUUUCAAUACGACUUUCCCAACGUGUAACUGACAAUGAUUUCAGAGUUAAGUGUUUAACAUUAUCUUUCAAUAUCUUCCACCGCUUUGUAGAAUUAGCAAACAAUGUAUAAAUACGUUGUAUGAUUCCAAAAAAAUCUUUUGCUUUUCCACAAGAGUUUGCAAUAUCGCAAAGUGUUAAAUUAAGACUAUGACAACCACAAGGUGUGUACAAUGCUCUAGGAUUUACAUCCAAAAGUUUUCUUUGGACACCUUGGUAUUUCCCACUCAUAUUUGAUCCAUUGUCAUAGCCUUGUCCUCUCACAU
rnacentral:lncRNA from 1 species